UACGAAGGGGACUAGCGUUGUUCGGAUUUACUGGGCGUAAAGCGCGCGCAGGCGGCUAUCCAAGUCAGUGGUGAAAGCCCGGAGCUCAACUCCGGAACUGCCAUUGAAACUGUUUAGCUUGAGGACGAGAGAGGUGAGUGGAAUUCCCAGUGUAGAGGUGAAAUCCGUAGAUAUUGGGAAAGAACACCGGUGGCGAAGGCGGCUCACUGGCUCGUAUCUGACGCUCAGGCGCGACAGCGUGGGGAUCGAAACAGG
rnacentral:rRNA from 1 species